rnacentral:rRNA from 1 species
UACAGAGGUCUCGAGCGUUAGGCGGAAUCACUGGGCUUAAAGCGUGUGUAGGUGGAUCGUUUAAGUACCUUGUGAAAUCCCCCGGCUCAACCGGGGAACGGCUGGGUAUACUGGCGGUCUUGAGCCAUCCAGGGGCAGUCGGAACAGACGGUGGAGCGGUGAAAUGCGUAGAUAUCGGGAAGAACACCCGUGGCUAAGGCGGCUCUCUAGUACGGUACUGACGCUGAGACGCGGAAAGCGUGGGGAGCGAACAGG